rnacentral:miRNA from 1 species
CUUCCGAUCAGCGAGGUACAUCUACCUCGUUGACCGGAAGAGUUUCCUUCCGGUCAACGAGGAUGUACCUCGUUGAUCGGAAGGAACCCCUUCCGAUCAAAGAGGUCGAUGUACCUCCCUGACCGGAAG